GACGAACGCUGGCGGCGUGCCUAAUACAUGCAAGUCGAGCGGACGGAUGGGAGCUUGCUCCCAGCCCGUCAGCGGCGGACGGGUGAGUAACACGUGGGCAACCUGCCUGUAAGACUGGGAUAACUCCGGGAAACCGGGGCUAAUACCGGAUAACUCUUUCCCUCACAUGAGGGAAAGCUGAAAGAUGGCAUCUCGCUAUCACUUACAGCUGGGCCCGCGGCGCAUUAGCUAGUUGGUGAGGUAACGGCUCACCAAGGCGACGAUGCGUAGCCGACCUGAGAGGGUGAUCGGCCACACUGGGACUGAGACACGGCCCAGACUCCUACGGGAGGCAGCAGUAGGGAAUCUUCCGCAAUGGACGAAAGUCUGACGGAGCAACGCCGCGUGAGUGAUGAAGGUUUUCGGAUCGUAAAACUCUGUUGUCAGGGAAGAACAAGUACCGGAGUAACUGCCGGUACCUUGACGGUACCUGACCAGAAAGCCACGGCUAACUACGUG
rnacentral:rRNA from 1 species